rnacentral:rRNA from 1 species
AGUGAACGCUGGCGGCGUGCUUAACACAUGCAAGUCGAACGAGAACGGAUUAUAGCUUGCUAUAAUUGUCAGCUAAGUGGCGCACGGGUGAGUAAUGUAUAGGUAAUAUGCCUCUUACUAAGGGAUAACAAAUGGAAACGUUUGCUAAUACCUUAUACUCCUUAUUAACAUAAGUUAAUAAGGGAAAGAUUUAUUGGUAAGAGAUUAGCUUGUAUUGUAUCAGUUAGUUGGUGGGGUAAUGGCUUACCAAGACUAUGACACAUAACUGGUUUGAGAGGAUGAUCAGUCACACUGGAACUGAGACACGGUCCAGACUCCUACGGGAGGCAGCAGUGGGGAAUAUUGCACAAUGGACGAAAGUCUGAUGCAGCAACGCCGCGUGGGGGAUGACACAUUUCGGUGCGUAAACUCCUUUUAUAUGAGAAGAUAAUGACGGUAUUAUAUGAAUAAGCACCGGCUAACUCCGUGCCAGCAGCCGCCGUAA